rnacentral:rRNA from 1 species
CCUACGGGUGGCUGCAGUGGGGAAUAUUGGACAAUGGGGGCAACCCUGAUCCAGCCAUGCCGCGUGUGUGAAGAAGGCCCUCGGGUUGUAAAGCACUUUCAGUGAGGAAGAACGCCUGGUGGUUAAUACCCAUCAGGAAAGACAUCACUCACAGAAGAAGCACCGGCUAACUCCGUGCCAGCAGCCGCGGUAAUACGGAGGGUGCGAGCGUUAAUCGGAAUUACUGGGCGUAAAGCGCGCGUAGGUGGCUUGAUAAGCCGGUUGUGAAAGCCCCGGGCUCAACCUGGGAACGGCAUCCGGAACUGUCAAGCUAGAGUGCAGGAGAGGAAGGUAGAAUUCCCGGUGUAGCGGUGAAAUGCGUAGAGAUCGGGAGGAAUACCAGUGGCGAAGGCGGCCUUCUGGACUGACACUGACACUGGGGUGCGAAAGCGUGGGUAGCAAACAGGAUUAGAUACCCUUGUAGUC